UGCUGACGAGUGGCGGACGGGUGAGUAAUGUCUGGGAAACUGCCUGAUGGAGGGGGAUAACUACUGGAAACGGUAGCUAAUACCGCAUAACGUCGCAAGACCAAAGAGGGGGACCUUCGGGCCUCUUGCCAUCGGAUGUGCCCAGAUGGGAUUAGCCUAGUAGGUGGGGUAACGGCUUCACCCUAGGCGACGAUCCCCCUAGCUGGUCCUGAGAGGAUGACCCAGCCACCCGUG
rnacentral:rRNA from 1 species